rnacentral:rRNA from 1 species
UGGGGAAUAUUGGACAAUGGGCGAAAGCCUGAUCCAGCCAUGCCGCGUGAGUGACGAAGGCCUUAGGGUUGUAAAACUCUUUCGUCGGGGACGAUAAUGACGGUACCCGAAGAAGAAGCUCCGGCUAACUUCGUGCCAGCAGCCGCGGUAAUACGAAGGGAGCUAGCGUUGUUCGGAAUCACUGGGCGUAAGGCGCACGUAGGCGGAUAGUUAAGUCAGGGGUGAAAUCCUGGGGCUCAACCCCAGAACUGCCUUUGAUACUGGCUGUCUCGAGGUCGAGAGAGGUUGGUGGAAUUCCUAGUGUAGAGGUGAAAUUCGUAGAUAUUAGGAAGAACACCAGUGGCGAAGGCGGCCAACUGGCUCGAUACUGACGCUGAGGUGCGAAAGCGUGGGGAGCAAACAGGAUUAGAUACCCCAGUAGUCCCUGAGCGGGCUGGCAAGGCGCAU